UACAAAUAUUAUUAUUAUUAUUGUAAUUUUUUUGAACAGUGAAACAAACAAGUUCAAAGCACGCCCCCUUUGGCCUCCGGAAAUACCAUAUCCCUAUACUCCUCGUCGACCUGGAUAAGCGCUGCGGCUCCCUCCCUCUCCACUUUUUCCGUCUCAAUCACAAAAGUCGCCAGUAGCAGAGCUGGUUCCGUCGCGCUCACAUUGGCGCUGAUCUUAUGAUGGCAACCGGGCUUUUCUAACCAGGUUCCCCCUUGCUCGAUGACACGCGUCGGCUCAUCGUUCAUUUUGUUCAACACCGUGCCUUGGAUUAGGUAUGCGGAGACGGAAGCGCCACCGUGCCGAUGUGGUGGUGAGGCACUGUUGGGUGGGAAUGUGACCAUCACGCCAAUGAUUGAUUUCCCGGGGGCAUUGGCAAGCUUGUGAUGAUAUAGUGGUUGGAUGAGAGGGAGGGGUCGACUAGUUGUUGGUGAUUGCCGUUUUGUUAGAUGAAUGCUAUUGUCUAGGGGAU
rnacentral:sRNA from 1 species